rnacentral:misc_RNA from 1 species
GAUGAAGAACGUAGCGAAAUGCGAUACGUAAUGUGAAUUGCAGAAUUCAGUGAAUCAUCGAAUCUUUGAACGCAUAUUGCGCUCUCUGGUAUUCCGGAGAGCAUGCUUGUUUGAGUAUCAGUAAACACCUCAACUUCCAUAUCUUUUUUGAAAUGGGAGUUGGACUUGAGUGAUCCCAACGCUUUUCCUCACCGAAAAGUGGCGGGUUACUUGAAAUGCAGGUGCAGCUGGACUUUUCUCUGAGCUAUAAGCAUAUCUAUUUAGUCUGCCUAAAAAACAGAUUAUUACCUUUGCUGCAGCUAACAUAAAGGAGAUUAGUUCUUGUGCUGACUGAUGCAGGAUUCACAAAGACAGCUUCGGCCGACUUUGUAAACUCGAUCUCAAAUCAAGUAAGACUACCCGCUGAACUUAGGCAUAUCAAUAAGCGGAGGA